rnacentral:tRNA from 1 species
GCCCUGAUAGUGUAGCCUGGAUAUCACGCGGGACUGCGGAUCCCGUUACCCGGGUUCAAAUCCCGGUCAGGGCA